GGGUAGCUCAGUUGGUAGAGCGCCACCCUUUAAGGUGGAGGUCGUCGGUUCGAGUCCGAUCCC
rnacentral:tRNA from 1 species